rnacentral:rRNA from 1 species
CAUGCAAGUCGAGGGGCAGCAUGAUUUGUAGCAAUACAGAUUGAUGGCGACCGGCGCACGGGUGAGUAACGCGUAUGCAACUUACCUAUCAGAGGGGGAUAGCCCGGCGAAAGUCGGAUUAAUACCCCAUAAAACAGGGGUCCCGCAUGGGAAUAUUUGUUAAAGAUUCAUCGCUGAUAGAUAGGCAUGCGUUCCAUUAGGCAGUUGGCGGGGUAACGGCCCACCAAACCGACGAUGGAUAGGGGUUCUGAGAGGAAGGUCCCCCACAUUGGUACUGAGACACGGACCAAACUCCUACGGGAGGCAGCAGUGAGGAAUAUUGGUCAAUGGCCGAGAGGCUGAACCAGCCAAGUCGCGUGAAGGAAGAAGGAUCUAUGGUUUGUAAACUUCUUUUAUAGGGGAAUAAAGUGGAGGACGUGUCCUUUUUUGUAUGUACCCUAUGAAUAAGCAUCGGCUAACUCCGUGCCAGCAGCCGCGGUAAUACGGAGGAUGCGAGCGUUAUCCGGAUUUAUUGGGUUUAAAGGGUGCGUAGGUGGUGAUUUAAGUCAGCGGUGAAAGUUUGUGGCUCAACCAUAAAAUUGCCGUUGAAACUGGGUUACUUGAGUGUGUUUGAGGUAGGCGGAAUGCGUGGUGUAGCGGUGAAAUGCAUAGAUAUCACGCAGAACUCCGAUUGCGAAGGCAGCUUACUAAACCAUAACUGACACUGAAGCACGAAAGCGUGGGGAUCAAACAGGAUUAGAUACCCUGGUAGUCCACGCAGUAAACGAUGAUUACUAGGAGUUUGCGAUACAAUGUAAGCUCUACAGCGAAAGCGUUAAGUAAUCCACCUGGGGAGUACGCCGGCAACGGUGAAACUCAAAGGAAUUGACGGGGGCCCGCACA